ACGGCGAGUGAAGCGGCAACAGCUCAAAUUUGAAAUCUGGCUUCGGCCCGAGUUGUAAUUUGUAGAGGAUGCUUUUGGCGCGGUGCCUUCUGAGUUCCCUGGAACGGGACGCCAUAGAGGGUGAGAGCCCCGUAUAGUUGGACACCAAGCCUUUGUAAAGCUCCUUCGACGAGUCGAGUAGUUUGGGAAUGCUGCUCAAAAUGGGAGGUAAAUUUCUUCUAAAGCUAAAUACCGGCCAGAGACCGAUAGCGCACAAGUAGAGUGAUCGAAAGAUGAAAAGCACUUUGAAAAGAGGGUUAAAUAGCACGUGAAAUUGUUGAAAGGGAAGCGCUUAUGACCAGACUUGUUCCCGGUUGAUCAUCCAGUGUUCUCACUGGUGCACUCUGCCGGGGUCAGGCCAGCGUCGGUUCUCGUAGGGGGAUAAAAGCUUCAGGAACGUGGCUCCUCCGGGAGUGUUAUAGCCUGUUGCACAAUACCCUUAUGGGGACCGAGGUUCGCGCUCUGCAAGGACGCUGGCGUAAUGGUCAUCAGCGACCCGUCUUGAAACACGGACCAAGGAGUCGAGGUUUUGCGCGAGUGUUUGGGUGUCAAACCCGCACGCGUAAUGAAAGUGAACGUAGGUGAGAGCUUCGGCGCAUCAUCGACCGAUCCUGAUGUAUUCGGAUGGAUUUGAGUAAGAGCGUAUAGCCUCGGACCCGAAAGAUGGUGAACUAUGCUUGUAUAGGGUGAAGCCAGAGGAAACUCUGGUGGAGGCUCGCAGCGGUUCUGACGUGCAAAUCGAUCGUCAAAUAUGAGCAUGGGGGCGAAAGACUAAUC
rnacentral:rRNA from 1 species